UAUGGCAUAUGAUGAUAUAACACAGUAAAUACUGAAUAAUUCUGUUGAUUAUUUACUCCGCUUAUUAUCUGAUGCCAUA
rfam:Nicotiana attenuata strain TT chromosome 4, whole genome shotgun sequence.